AACAGUAACCGAUUUUACAACAUUGAACGUAAAAAUGUUUAGAUGUACUGGUCGUAUUUAUAUAUAGAUGUAUAUGGUGGAGUCAUAUUUGCCUAAAUUGUUUCAUUUCAUAUAAUAUGUGAAAAACUAUGAGAACUUACUGUAUUCAUAAGUUUAUUACCUCUUCACUCGAAUGCUUCCUGCACACGAGAAGCAUGUAUCUUUACAACGAAAUCUUGAAGUACUUUCUGUAAAUGAUAUUAUGUA